GCUCCGGGUGCCUGCAACAUACAUCUGACUCUUUAUUUCCAAAAUCUAACUCUUCUUAAAAUAGCUAGAGAAUGUGUUUCUUUUCCUUGCAAUGAAGUAAUCCCUGAGUAAAGCACAGAACAGCAUCCCACCCGUGGCCUCACGACGCACCGAGCAGUGCCCGCCGGGUUCCUUCCGCAGAAUGGGAAACAGAAGCUCAGCUGAUGGCACACCCGCUAGGAGUCAGACUCGCAGACGUCGCCGGAUGGAGAAGAGAAUGUGUCCUUGGUCCCGGCAAGGUGGUCCGGCUACACCGCAGGCAUCGCUAACAAGCCGUCACUCGGUUGUCAACGUCUAACUGCAGUACGGAAUUCUAACUGCAGGACAGAAGUCCCGCUGCGCUCCCGUCGGGGCUGUCGUAAGAAACGAAUUCUCUGGGGACACCUGGGGGGCUCAGCGGUUGAGCAGCUCCCUUCAUCCCAGGGCGUGAUCCCCGGGUCCUGGGAUCGAAUCCCACAUGGGGCUCCCUGCAUGGAGCCUGCUUCUC